GACGAACGCUGGCGGCGUGCUUAACACAUGCAUGUCGAACGGUGACCUCGGAGCUUGCUCCGGGCGAUCAGUGGCGAACGGGUGAGUAACACGUGAGUAACCUGCCCCAGACUCUGGGAUAACAUCGGGAAACCGGUGCUAAUACCGGAUAUGAGACGAGAUUGCAUGAUCAUCGUCUGGAAAGAUUUGUCGGUCUGGGAUGGACUCGCGGCCUAUCAGCUAGUUGGUGAGGUAAUGGCUCACCAAGGCGACGACGGGUAGCCGGCCUGAGAGGGCGACCGGCCACACUGGAACUGAGACACGGUCCAGACUCCUACGGGAGGCAGCAGUGGGGAAUAUUGCACAAUGGGCGCAAGCCUGAUGCAGCAACGCCGCGUGGGGGAUGAAGGCCUUCGGGUUGUAAACCCCUUUUAGCAGGGAAGAAGCGAAAGUGACGGUACCUGCAGAAAAAGCGCCGGCUAACUACGUG
rnacentral:rRNA from 1 species